rnacentral:rRNA from 1 species
UGGCUCAGGAUGAACGCCGGCGGUGUGCCUAAUACAUGCAAGUCGUACGCACUGGCCCAACUAAUUGAUGGUGCUUGCACCUGAUUGACGAUGGAUCACCAGUGAGUGGCGGACGGGUGAGUAACACGUAGGUAACCUGCCCCGGAGCGGGGGAUAACAUUUGGAAACAGAUGCUAAUACCGCAUAACAACAAAAGCCGCAUGGCUUUUGUUUGAAAGAUGGCUUUGGCUAUCACUCUGGGAUGGACCUGCGGUGCAUUAGCUAGUUGGUAAGGUAACGGCUUACCAAGGCGAUGAUGCAUAGCCGAGUUGAGAGACUGAUCGGCCACAAUGGAACUAAGACACGGUCCAUACUCCUACGGGAGGCAGCAGUAGGGAAUCUUCCACAAUGGGCGCAAGCCUGAUGGAGCAACACCGCGUGAGUGAAGAAGGGUUUCGGCUCGUAAAGCUCUGUUGUUGGAGAAGAACGUGCGUGAGAGUAACUGUUCACGCAGUGACGGUAUCCAACCAGAAAGUCACGGCUAACUACGUGCCAGCAGCCGCGGUAAUACGUAGGUGGCAAGCGUUAUCCGGAUUUAUUGGGCGUAAAGCGAGCGCAGGCGGUUGCUUAGGUCUGAUGUGAAAGCCUUCGGCUUAACCGAAGAAGUGCAUCGGAAACCGGGCGACUUGAGUGCAGAAGAGGACAGUGGAACUCCAUGUGUAGCGGUGGAAUGCGUAGAUAUAUGGAAGAACACCAGUGGCGAAGGCGGCUGUCUGGUCUGCAACUGACGCUGAGGCUCGAAAGCAUGGGUAGCGAACAGGAUUAGAUACCCUGGUAGUCCGUGCCGUAAACGAUGAGUGCUAGGUGUUGGAGGGUUUCCGCCCUUCAGUGCCGGAGCUAACGCAUUAAGCACUCCGCCUGGGGAGUACGACCGCAAGGUUGAAACUCAAAGGAAUUGACGGGGGCCCGCACAAGCGGUGGAGCAUGUGGUUUAAUUCGAAGCUACGCGAAGAACCUUACCAGGUCUUGACAUCUUGCGCUAACCUUAGAGAUAAGGCGUUCCCUUCGGGGACGCAAUGACAGGUGGUGCAUGGUCGUCGUCAGCUCGUGUCGUGAGAUGUUGGGUUAAGUCCCGCAACGAGCGCAACCCUUGUUACUAGUUGCCAGCAUUGAGUUGGGCACUCUAGUGAGACUGCCGGUGACAAACCGGAGGAAGGUGGGGACGACGUCAGAUCAUCAUGCCCCUUAUGACCUGGGCUACACACGUGCUACAAUGGACGGUACAACGAGUCGCAAACUCGCGAGAGUAAGCUAAUCUCUUAAAGCCGUUCUCAGUUCGGACUGUAGGCUGCAACUCGCCUACACGAAGUCGGAAUCGCUAGUAAUCGCGGAUCAGCAUGCCGCGGUGAAUACGUUCCCGGGCCUUGCACUCACCGCCCGUA